AACGAGCACGCAUGUCUUCCUCCGACAAGGAAACGCGAAAAACUUAUGGAAACCACUGAUGGAGGACUUUAAAUAUUUUGGACGUGGUGCAGAAUAACUGCGCUGCGAGCAACCUGAUCUGGUGAAAGAUAAACGAGAAUCAUGCGGCUUUUUUUAUCCUUCCACAAAGAAGGGAUAUGGAGAAACCAAGAGGAAUGUACAUUGCAAAUUCACCGGAUAUCGGUAGAAACGAGGCGACGUUUGCGUCUGUUUACGGAAGCCUAACGCGUCCAAAGCGAGGGAAAAAUGAACGUGCGCAUCACGUGAAAGAGCAAUCCUGACCUAGUUUUCCAGCCAUGUCCUGGGUCAUGACCAUCGAUUGUUUCCCCUCUCUGGCCAUGGCGUCGCGACCCAAAUGCUUCGGAUCUUCCCUGGGAUUAGGCGCUGUAACGAUCCCCGGGAAUUUAUGGCGUCGCGCAAAGUGUCUUUCGCGCGCGGUAGCUCUACCACUUCUCGUCGCUCUCGUAAUUGUGAUAUCGCGUCUCGGGAUCUGGUCAGGUCGGUUACAGGUGUCUCCGACCAGCGCGUAUGAAGCGGUUUAAUUGGGAUUUAUGUCGACAUCGCAGUCUUUCCGGAUAUUUCGCUGGUAGCCGCGAGAGAUUCGCGCGUCUCGGAGCCUGUUCUCAGGAUGAUCUUUCACUGAGAGACUCGUUUAAAUCUACGUGCGAACCGUGAGCCAAAUUGGACGCACGAGUGAUGAGAGAUAGACAAGAUUCUUCCUCCACUUACGCAUUUCUUCAAAUUGAGACCGGGAUGCAAAGAGAGAAGAAAGAGAAAGAGAGAAAGGAGGGAACACAGUAACGAGGCGAUCACGUGGAGCAUGUGUACUCGUAAGUAAAUGAGAUUCCAUUCAAUGAUGGACGACGCCGUGCGCCGAAAGAUACAGGUCCUGACCUACUUCAAGCCAGUCACGUUUGCGAUCAAGGAUUGACCCUUAGGUACUCUCUAAAGAUGUAUUCCUAAAACGGAAGUUAAUUCGAUGACCAUGAUUACACGAUGAAGAGGACCCAGCAGGAGGGUAGGAUGGUCUUACACUUGGAGCUUAUUCCGACAAACGUGAACAGAGAUGUUAGAUGUCACCGCUCUGGAAUUCUCUCAUCCAAAAGUCACCGAUGAGGCUUAGAGUACCGUAUGAGUCUAACAUGAUUUAGAACACCACGAGAGGCACCGUAAAUUUCUACUCCCGGUAUUACCUUGACCGAAAAGACGCACAACAGUUGUGUUGCUUUGAUUAUAGAACAUUGUACGUAUUCUUCUGUGAUCGGUAUGGACAUUGAGUAGUAUUCUAAGUUUGUAAUUUUACCGGUAAACAACACUCAACAAAUAAAAUUAAUACAGAGU